AACGGUCUAUACCUGCGGUACCUGCGGAGGGAUCAUUACUGAAUUGAUUUUGGGGAUGUUGCUGGUCUCUUGAGGCAUGGUGCACUCCCUCAAACAUUUCACAAUUUCCAUCUUACCCAUGUGCACAUCCUGUAGGUGGUCUCCCAACCCACCCUCCAAGGAAAGGGGGGGAGUGUGUGGGUCUGGUCUCCUAUGUAUUUCCUUGCCAACAUCACACGUUUUGACUGAAUGAAUCCUGUG
rnacentral:misc_RNA from 1 species